AACGAACGCUGGCGGCAGGCCUAACACAUGCAAGUCGAGCGAGAUCUUCGGGUCUAGCGGCGGACGGGUGAGUAACGCGUGGGGAUAUGCCUCUUGGUACGGAAUAGCCUCGGGGAACUGGGAGGAAUACGGUAUGUGCUCUCUGGGGGGAAGAUUUAACGCCAAGAGAUUAGCCGGCGUUGGAUUAGGUUGUUGGUGGGGUAAUGGGCUACCACGCCGACGAUCCAUAGCUGGGUUGAGAGGAUGGUCAGCGACACUGGGACUGAGACACGGUCCAGACUCUUACGGGAUGCAGCAGUGGGUAAUCUUAGACAAUGGGGGCAACGCUGAUCUAGCCAUGCCGGGUGAGUGAUGAAGGCCUUAGGGUUGUAAAGCUCUUUCAGCUGGGAAGAUAAUGACGGUACCAGCAGAAGAAGCCCCGGCUAACUCCGUG
rnacentral:rRNA from 1 species